rnacentral:rRNA from 1 species
AUGGAUAGCAAUUAUCUCGGGAUCAUGAGCUGUCUACGCAACGACCAGGGGGCAUAUUCUUCUCCUACCACUAACACCUUCAUCCUAUUUGAGCCAAAAUGGCUUUGGUGCCCUCUCUCUCUCAUGGUGAGGCUGUGCACGCUUGCCAUGGUUGUGGCUACGAAAUCUCACACCGAGUCGCUUCGGUCGGGCACUAUUCAGACUAAAGUGAGAGUUUCUAGCAUAUUCCUCUUUUACGGUGACGCCAGAUUCGAAUUUGAAGGCGUACUUGUCCCUGAGCUGGUGGUGCCUGAGAACAACAACGACAACAUUCUGGUGCAUCAGGGGCACACAUCGUCUCCAAGCUCUAUCGCAAGCAACGCAGGCACGCCUCAGGCUCAAAGUCCGGUUGCCGUGCAGGCGAGCGGCAGCAGCCACUUACGUCUCUUCCAAGAAGGGCGCCGCCUUGGAGGAGCAUAA